rnacentral:lncRNA from 1 species
UAAAGAGUAGGCCUGCUUCGGACCGCGUAGGGCAUCACCGAUUUUAUGUUAUAAUUUUAGUUGUAUAUACAACAUUACGGAAAAAUAUAUGAAUAAUAAUAAGGGAAUAAUUAUUUAUUAAGCGUAGACGAUUAUGCAAAAUUUUAAAAUGUCAGAGAGAUAAAAGAAAUGUCAUUACUAAGCUAAGAAGACCGACCAUAUAUGUCUUUUUAAGACCAUGUAUGUUUGUAAUAUAAAUCUCUUUAUAUUACCUUUGUGGGUUAGCUGCAAUGAUCUUGAGCUUUUCCGGAUCAUGGAUUGCCUUCCCAACCAUCUUAUUAUCCGGCAUUGCAGCCCACGUAUCAGCCAAGCCAAAGAGGAGACCGUAGGCGAAAAGGUGAGUCUUGCUUGGCUUCAUAUCCUCCGGGAUAACAAAGAGAGGAGCGGAAAAGAUCAAACCGGUCCAAGUAUCAGGUUCGGAUUGAAAGUACAUGAGAAGUGUGGCAAGACCUCCCAUAGAUUCACCAAAGAGGAAAGCAGGAAGAUGCUUAUACGGUUCACUGUCACGAACAUGCUUAAAGAAACACAAUGAUGUUGCUGCAACUUUCUCCAUAUCACCUGACAAAACCAAACAAAAGGCCGUGUCCUAAGGUCUUUACUCACCCAAAACAUAUUCAACCUAAAACCCUAAUCUGCAGUGAGACUUCAGUUUCAAGUAAUCUCUCUGUUUGCUAAAGUUAAGAUUUUUCAGUUAACCAAAAAUAUUCAAAACAGAGUUCUUCAAAAAGAAAAUAGAGGAGAGAACGAACCCAUGUAGCACAAAAGAUCAUAAACAUUUUACAAUUAUUUUGUAACACAUUCAACUUAAAACCUUAAUCUACAGUGAGAGUUCAGUUUCAAGUAAUCACUCUGUUUUGCCUUAGCCUUUACACAUCAACUAAAGUUGAGAAUUUUCAAUUAACCAAAAAAAUUUCAAAACAGAGUUCUUUAAAAAGGGAACAGAGCAGAGAAUGAACCCAUGUAACAUAAAAAAUCCUAAAUAUUUUACUUUUUUUUUGGUAACACAUUCAACUUAAAGCCCUAAUCUACAGUGUUCAUUUUCAAGUAAUCUCUCUGUUUUGCCUAACAUUUAUUUAAUUAAAGUUGAGAUUUUUCAAAAACAGAGCAGUGAACGAACCCAAGUAGCAGCGGAUGCCAUCGGAACGGCCGUGACCAAGAAGAUCGGCGGCGAAAACAGCGUAGCCCCAAUUGCAGAAGCUCAUGCAGAUCUUCUGGAACAUCCAGCUCGUGUCGGAUCCGUACCCGUGAGACAUGUACACCGUCCCUUUGAUCUCACCAUCUAAGGGAAGAAAGCUCUGCGUGAAGAGCUUGCCGUUGGGUGUUUCGAAGUAGGAUUUGGUGUUACGCACGCCUUGGGAAGUGUAGUACUCUUCCUCCGGCAUGUCUCCCCAGAAAUACGGCGGCGGUGUCGCCGGAGCUGAAUUGUUUGACUUCUCCGCCUCAGAUGACAUCGUUUUCGCUUUCUUUUCUUCUUCUCUACUGAAUAUGGUUGGUGGAGCUUGGGAAAGUGAACGCACGAAGGAGAUAAAUGAGAGUACAUAUAUACAAGGAAUAUUAAUUAAACUUGAUUUAAAUUAAAAGAUAAUUAUUAUAAUUAAUAAAGGUUUUUGGUAUUCAUUUUUUUAUUACAGAAACAGUCCGUUUCUGACAAUGUAAGAAAAGGAGAAUUAUCAUGCCACAUUUAGUAAAUAAUUACUUCUUCCCUUUAAAAAAUCUUAUCUUCAACAACUAUUUUUAUAACUUUGUAAAAAAAUAAGAAAAAGCAACAACUAUUCUAUACAUCAAAGUUAAAAACAUUUAAUCUUUUCUAAACUCGAAAAUAAUCUAAAACAUUUAACGCUUGAAAAUUGAGACAUUGUAGUUUUCUAAAUGGCUUUGAUUCUGUUAUUAAAAAUGAUCCUUUUAUUUAUUUCUCAGUGUUAUGAAUAUCCAUCAAAAUUAAAUGUAAUAAAUAUGAUUAAAUUUAAAUAACUAAAAAAUAGGAGGGAUAAAUGAUUGAUUUCUUCAGCUCACCAACUACGCUGGGGUGGGGUCGGAUAAGGUUUGAUUACAUCUCAGCAGAAAUCCCAAACCGGAUGGAUAUUGCUGGAACCUAUCUAUAUCUGGUAAAUACUCGGUCAAAUCAGGCUAUAUGCUUGCAAGAUCUAAACCAGAUAAUGAGAUGAUAUUUCGGAACCAGCUGUCUUCUCUUAACCUACUGAAAGAAAAAAUUUGGAAAAUCAAAACGGGGGAAAAAUUAGCCAUUUCCUAUGGCAGAUUCAAUCGGAGGCUGUAGCGGUAAACGAAAGACUUUUUAAGAGACAUAUUGGGAACGAUCCUAGCUACCCAAGAUGUGGUCAUGCGGAGAAAACAAUUAAUCAUAUGAUUUUUACAUGCCCUCCAGCUAUGCAAUGUUGGGCCUUCUCAACGGUUCCAACGGCACCAGGAGUAUUUCCGUCAGAGAAUCUCUACACCAAUAUAAACUACCUGCUUGCAAGUUGCAAGGACUAGUAUUGGUGGAUAUAUGGAGGAAUUAACCAGAGUCUUUCCUUGGCUUAUCUGGUAUAUAUGGAAAGCACGAAAUGAAAAACUCUAUAAUGGGCGAGAUUUCUCACCAGUGGAUACAACAGAUUUAGCAUUAAAGGAGUGUAAUGCAUGGUUCCUAGCCAAUGAGGAAGCCGAAUCAGGCGACAAUGCCACAAUACCCAUACCAAGGAACCCCUGUACAUUUACUUGCCGUGUAGAUGGAUCAUGGAAGAAUGAUGGAUUCACGAGUGGAGUAGGAUGAAUUUUACAACUUCAAGAUGGAGCAAUAGAUCUCCUAGGCCUGCAAGAUUGCCAUAAGUUAAUUUCGCCACUACAUACCGAGCUAAAGAGUUUAGUAUGGGCAUUGAAAUGUUUAUCUCGCCAUUAGCGGUUCUGCGAUUACUUUGUUACUGAUUCCCAAGAAUUAGUCAAAAUGAUCACAACACCAGAAGACUGGCCAACUUUUGCAGUUGAACUUACCGAGUUUAAAGCUCUUUGGACGUCCUAUCAGGACGGAAAAGUGGUUUAUCAACCCAGAUCCAGUAACACUCAAGUGGACUUCCUUGCAAGGCACGCUCGAACAAAAAACCGUGUUUUCUCGUAUGUUAACACGUCGGUGUCUUAUUAGCUAGACACUAGAAACUCGUCUUUCGCGGAUUCGUAGUAAGAUUUUCUUUGUAUUCUUAUUGUGAUAAAAAAAAUUAAAAAAAAAAUUAAAAACUUCAACAUUGUUCAAGAAUCAUAUAAGUGUGAAUAGAGAUAAUAAUGGUAAAAGGUAAAAAAACAAGGGACGACUGGAUCUUUACUUCGGUCUCCGUCUACAAAUUUAAUUCGAUAAAGCAAAACAAUUAGAGAGAUAGAGAGAGGCUUAGCUAAUAGGCAAGUUUAUUUUUCCUUUUUUCACAUUGUAUUGCGAAAGUAUCGUUUCAUCAUGACUAUGAAGACUAAAUUCUAAAGGUAAGAACAAAUUCUUGAUUUUCCUAUAAAAAACAAUCAAGUUAGAUAUUAUGGGUUAAUUUGAUGAAUGACCAUAUUGGAUAUAUAUUCUAUGAUGGAAAGGCUGAUUUCUCUCGCAACAUCAGCUCUUUCAAAUUCGCCACCUCAUGGCUGAGAACUAUGCUAUUCCUUCCCAUUCAGUAAUGCAUGGUUUGUUCCAAAAAAGAAAACUACUUGGUUUGUGUCGUCCACCUUCAGUGUUGCUCCACCUUCAGUGUUGCUCAUUUAAACAUGUUAAAUCUUAUAAAGUGUCAACCAAGAUUUAGAAAGGGAUUCUGUAAUCCAUGAUAUAUAUAGAAGUUAUUAUUACAUCCCAAAAGUCAUGUUCUUGGAUAAAACAUAAACAACAUAACAACUCGAAUCAACAACCACUAUGAACCAUGAUAUCAAUGCACAUUUCUCUUCACAAAAUGAAAGUUUCAAUCUGCUUUACUUAGAUCCAUACCUCUCAACCCUCUCAUCAAUCCACUCUCUCAUAUCCUUCAACACAAUAGCAACAUUCUCAUCUGGCUCUCCUUGAAUCAAUGAAUGGUACAUCCCAUCAUAAAGCUUCAGUGUUUUAUCAUCACUCGAUGCCUUCUCAUAUAGUAGCUUCGAUGAUGAAGGACACGUCACUCCAUCAGCUGUCCCGUGCACCGUCAGAAACGGAGCAGUUACUCUCCCGAAAUUUUCCUGCACGUAUAGUGUCUUCCUCAGUAACUCUCUCAUUGUUCCCACUCUAGGCUUCCCCGUGUACCUGUAAAGCAACAUCCAGUCUUUUUUUUUUGAAAAAUAUUGGUCUAAAGAGUAGGCCUGCUUCGGACCGCGUAGGGCAUCACCGAUUUUAUGUUAUAAUUUUAGUUGUAUAUACAACAUUACGGAAAAAUAUAUGAAUAAUAAUAAGGGAAUAAUUAUUUAUUAAGCGUAGACGAUUAUGCAAAAUUUUAAAAUGUCAGAGAGAUAAAAGAAAUGUCAUUACUAAGCUAAGAAGACCGACCAUAUAUGUCUUUUUAAGACCAUGUAUGUUUGUAAUAUAAAUCUCUUUAUAUUACCUUUGUGGGUUAGCUGCAAUGAUCUUGAGCUUUUCCGGAUCAUGGAUUGCCUUCCCAACCAUCUUAUUAUCCGGCAUUGCAGCCCACGUAUCAGCCAAGCCAAAGAGGAGACCGUAGGCGAAAAGGUGAGUCUUGCUUGGCUUCAUAUCCUCCGGGAUAACAAAGAGAGGAGCGGAAAAGAUCAAACCGGUCCAAGUAUCAGGUUCGGAUUGAAAGUACAUGAGAAGUGUGGCAAGACCUCCCAUAGAUUCACCAAAGAGGAAAGCAGGAAGAUGCUUAUACGGUUCACUGUCACGAACAUGCUUAAAGAAACACAAUGAUGUUGCUGCAACUUUCUCCAUAUCACC